CCUACGGGAGGCAGCAGUGGGGAAUUGUUCGCAAUGGGCGCAAGCCUGACGACGCAACGCCGCGUGGAGGAUGAAGGUCUUCGGAUUGUAAACUCCUGUUGCUCGGGACGCGGUACCGGGUGAGGAAGCCCCGGCUAACUCUGUGCCAGCAGCCGCGGUAAUACAGAGGGGGCAAGCGUUGUUCGGAAUUACUGGGCGUAAAGGGCGCGUAGGCGGCCCGCUAAGUCGAACGUGAAAUCCCCGGGCUCAACCCGGGAACUGCGUCCGAUACUGGCAGGCUUGAAUCCGGGAGAGGGAUGCGGAAUUCCAGGUGUAGCGGUGAAAUGCGUAGAUAUCUGGAGGAACACCGGUGGCGAAGGCGGCAUCCUGGACCGGAUUGACGCUGAGGCGCGAAAGCCAGGGGAGCAAACGGGAUUAGAUACCCUUGUAGUC
rnacentral:rRNA from 1 species